GCCUGGGUGGCUCAGUCGGUUAAGCGUCCGACUUCAGCUCGGGUCAUGAUCUCGCGGUCCGUGGGUUCGAGCCCCGCGUCGGGCU
rnacentral:tRNA from 1 species